rnacentral:rRNA from 1 species
GACGAACGCUGGCGGCGUGCCUAAUACAUGCAAGUAGAACGCUGAAGGAGGAGCUUGCUUCUCUGGAUGAGUUGCGAACGGGUGAGUAACGCGUAGGUAACCUGCCUGGUAGCGGGGGAUAACUAUUGGAAACGAUAGCUAAUACCGCAUAAGAGUAGAUGUCGCAGGACAUUUUUUUAAAAGGUGCAAUUGCAUUACUACCAGAUGGACCUGCGUUGUAUUAGCUAGAUGGGGAGGGAACGGCGCACCAAGGCAACGAUACAUAGCCGACCUGAAAGGGUGGUCGACCCACCUGGGACUGGGAACCGGCCCCGACCCCCUCGGGAGGCAACCGUAGGGGAUCUUUGGCAAUGGGCGGAAAUCUGACCGAGCCACGCCGCGUGAGGGGAGAAAGUUUUCGGGUCGUUAAGCUCUGUUGUAAGGGAAGAACGAGUGUGAGAGUGGAACGUUCACACUGUGACGUUACCUUAACAGAAAGCGCCGGCUAACUACGUG